rnacentral:rRNA from 1 species
UAACAAGGUUUCCGUAGGUGAACCUGCGGAAGGAUCAUUACCGAGUUGAUUCGAGCUCCGGCUCGACUCUCCCACCCCAUGUGUUACCUACCUCUGUUGCUUUGGCGGGCCGCGGUCCUCCGCACCGACCCCCGUUCGGGGGGCCGGCCAGCGCCCGCCAGAGGACCACAAAACUCCAGUCAGUAAACGUCGCAGUCUGAGAAACAAGUUAAUAAACUAAAACUUUCAACAACGGAUCUCUUGGUUCUGGCAUCGAUGAAGAACGCAGCGAAAUGCGAUAAGUAAUGUGAAUUGCAGAAUUCAGUGAAUCAUCGAAUCUUUGAACGCACAUUGCGCCCCUUGGUAUUCCGAGGGGCAUGCCUGUUCGAGCGUCAUUUCAACCCUCAAGCUCUGCUUGGUAUUGGGCUCCGUCCUCUGUGGACGCGCCUCGAAGACCUCGGCGGUGGCGUCUUGCCUCAAGCGUAGUAGAAAACACCUCGCUUUGGAGCGCACGGCGUCGCCCGCCGGACGAACCUUUGAAUUUUUCUCAAGGUUGACCUCGGAU